GCUCUGAUAGCUUAACCUAAAGUAUUGGUCUUGUAAGCCAAAGAUUGUGGUAUAAUAUACCACUCAGAGCU
rnacentral:tRNA from 1 species